rnacentral:tRNA from 1 species
UGGGAUGUCGUCUAAUGGUAGGACACAAGAUUUUGGGUCUUGGUAUCCUGGUUCGAGUCCAGGCGUCCCAGCUA